AACGAACGCUGGCGGCGUGCCUAACACAUGCAAGUCGAGCGCGAAAAGGGCAACCUGAGUAGAGCGGCGCACGGGUGCGUAACACGUGGGUAAUCUGCCUCAAAGUCUGGGAUAACCCUGCCGAAAGGUUGGCUAAUACCGGAUAAGCUCACGAGGUCUUCGGACUUUGUGGGAAAAGGUGGCCUCUGUUUACAUGCCAUCACUUUGAGAUGAGCCCGCGGCCCAUCAGCUAGUUGCGGGGUAACGGCCCACCAAGGCUACGACGGUAGCUGGUCUGAGAGGACGAUCAGCCACACUGGAACUGAGACACGGUCCAGACUCCUACGGAGGCAGCAGUGGGAAUUUUGCACAAUGGCGAAAGCCUGAUGCAGCAACGCCGCGUGUGUGAUG
rnacentral:rRNA from 1 species